rnacentral:rRNA from 1 species
AAGGUUGGCUAAUCCUGGUCGGACAUCAGGAGGUUAGUGCAAUGGCAUAAGCCAGCUUGACUGCGAGCGUGACGGCGCGAGCAGGUGCGAAAGCAGGUCAUAGUGAUCCGGUGGUUCUGAAUGGAAGGGCCAUCGCUCAACGGAUAAAAGGUACUCCGGGGAUAACAGGCUGAUACCGCCCAAGAGUUCAUAUCGACGGCGGUGUUUGGCACCUCGAUGUCGGCUCAUCACAUCCUGGGGCUGAAGUAGGUCCCAAGGGUAUGGCUGUUCGCCAUUUAAAGUGGUACGCGAGCUGGGUUUAGAACGUCGUGAGACAGUUCGGUCC